UAUGGCGCCGAAUUGUGGUCUGUAGACUUUGACGUUAUCUGCCGGGCCAAGUUCCUUGGAAAAGGACAGCUGAGAGGGUGAAACUCCCGUUCGCCUGGUAGAAUGAGUCUUUGUCAACGAGUCGAGUUGUUUGGGAUUGCAGCUCUAAUUUGGUGGUAAAUUCCAUCUAAAGCUAAAUAUUGGUGGGAGACCGAUAG
rnacentral:rRNA from 1 species